rnacentral:tRNA from 1 species
UCCCUGGUGGCUCAGUGGUAAAGAAUCCAGCUGCCAAUGCUGGAGACUUGAGUUCGAUCCUUGACCUGGGAA